AACACGUGGGGAACCGUGCCCCACUAGUCUGGGAUACCACUUGGAAACAGGUGCUAAUACCGGAUAAGAAAGCGGAUCGCAUGAUCAGCUUUUAAAAGGCGGCGUAAGCUGUCGCUAUGGGAUGGCCCCGCGGUGCAUUGGCUAGUUGGUAAGGUAAAGGCUUACCAAGGCGAUGAUGCAUAGCCGAGUUGAGAGACUGAUCGGCCACAUUGGGACUGAGACACGGCCCAAACUCCUACGGGAGGCAGCAGCC
rnacentral:rRNA from 1 species